GAUGAACGCUGGCGGCGUGCUUAACACAUGCAAGUCGAACGAGGAUUUAACGGAAUGCGAUUCGUCAAAUGAAAUUAAAUCCGAGUGGCGGACGGGUGAGUAACGCGUGGAUAACCUGCCUCACACAGGGGGACAACAGUUGGAAACGACUGCUAAUACCGCAUAAGCCCACGACCCGGCAUCGGGAAGAGGGAAAAGGAGCAAUCCGCUUUGAGAUGGCCUCGCGUCCGAUUAGCUAGUUGGUGAGGUAACGGCCCACCAAGGCGACGAUCGGUAGCCGGACUGAGAGGUUGAACGGCCACACUGGAACUGAGACACGGUCCAGACUCCUACGGGAGGCAGCAGUGGGGAAUCUUCCGCAAUGGGCGAAAGCCUGACGGAGCAACGCCGCGUGAGUGAUGACGGCCUCGGUUGUAAGCUCUGUGAUCGGGACGGAAC
rnacentral:rRNA from 1 species